AUGGAGAGGGACUGUGACGUGGCUGAAGAUUUUGACUGUUCACGCCUUCUGUGUGAGGAACUGGAGGAUUUGGAAACAAAGAUUUACCAGAGGAGGAGGACAAGGAGGUGGCAGAGGGACGGAGGGGAAGAGGAGGAAGUGUUUAAUCAGAGAAAGGAUGAAGAGGCAAGAGUGGAGGAAGGCCGAGAACAGGGGGGUGAGGAAACCGAAAAAGUUGUUGUGUCAGAAAAGCAGCGGAUGGCGGCAGAGGGAGAAGAGGAGGAGGAGGCGGAGGAGGAAUACACUUAUGUGGCUGAGGAGACCCAGGAGGUUCAGGUGGAACACAAGGUUGAGAACAUCAAGGAAACAGUCGCUCAAGAGCCAGAGGACAAAGAUACAAGAAGUCCAGAGAAGAGCACCGAAAAGAAAAAGAGUAGGAAGCGGCGAGGGAGGAAGCCAAGUGAGCGAGUGAGGAACAGGAGAAGUUUGAAAGAUGUCAGCGAGCGGUUCGUGGAGGAGAAGGAGAGUCGGACACAGGAGGCGUCAGCUGUGAAUUCAGAGGAGAGGUCGUCUCCGUCGGAGCCUCCCGUUGGACUGAUUGGCAGCUGUGACCUCUCGGACCCAGUUGACCUGGCCUAUGAGGGGACGGGGCCGCAUUUCCCUCUUCCCCCGCCGUACUCCUCCCAGCCGCCAGCCUCCAUCCAACCUGCACCUCCUCAGCCCGACGGGACAAAAAGGCCACACAGCCCUCUCCCACCUCUCCGUGUCCACCAGCAGGGCCUACAGCCGCUCGAGAUGGAGAUAACGCAGGUCUACUCCACCCGACGCUCCAUCCGCUACAGCAGCAGGGGACAAGGCCGCGCUCUAAGCGUCCCUCUGCUGCCGGGAUUAGAAACUGUGGACAGCUGCAUGCUUCCCCCCUGCACCGAAGAAGAAAACUCGAACGCUCUACAGUACCGAUCAGUUAGACCACUUAGAGGCCUUGUUCCAGGGGGGACCACUAUCCUGACGCAGAGAAGAGGAAAGUCAUCGCGGCUUCAGUUGGUGUCACACCUCAAAGGAUUAUGGUCUGGUUCCAGAACCGCCGGGCAAAGUGGAGGAAGGCGGAGCGCUCCAACACUGCAAGGGUUGAACACCGACAGAGCAAAGCUGGAUGCAGCAGCAGCCCCACACGUCACCACAUCAAUCCCACCCUGCCCUCACUGGCCCCCAACAGGUCUCAUGCCCUUAAAUGGUGCAAAUUACAUGUAUUUAAACAUGUUGAUGUGUAGUAAGCCAUGUCUUUUCCUCUUCUCCAGUAAGGGACCUUGUUUUUCCAGUCACUGUGCCACUAGGCUGCCCCAACCCGCCCCAGCAGCACCUGUUUUCCCCAACCUGACCAACCAGACUCCACCCCCCUACAGCAACCUUCUGGCAAGCCUCAACAGCCCAGGUCAACUCAGAGGGAGGGACGUUGGCCAGCUUGCCCCUCAGGGGGGGUUGGCAGAGUACCACCCCAUGCCGAGCCCUCCCCCCUUGCGUCGAGCCAGUCUCCCUAUUUUCCCAACGGCUUACAACCCUGCAAACCCAACUCCUCCUCCUCCGCCACCACCUCAUCUCCUUAAAACACGGGCUCACACCCCACCUCUGUUUCUGGACGCUCUGGAGGGGGGCUCCGCAUUGCCACACCGCGACGCCCAGUCGCUGCAGACCGACACCUGUUCUCUCUUUGAGUUUGGGGAGAAGUUUGACUUCUUGACCUCAGGCCAGCAGAACAACCCCCUCUCCUACCAGCUGCAGACCUCAUACUCCUCCACCCAGCACCAACCUCAAGCAUCUCUGCCCUGCAUGACCUACCUCACCCCCUCCCCCUACCUCCCCCCCAACCCUCCAGAAACCAACCCGACCUCGUACCUGACCUUUGGCCCCGGAGGGAACUCCACUGGGAUGGUGACCUACUCGACCGGAGGCCACGCGUACUUUCAGUCGCAGAGCACCGGACAAAUACUUCUGCAGUCGGCCGGUCAUCACGGGGGGAUCGCCGCGUACCAGUCGUACCCGUGGGGCAGCAUGUACAGUCAACCAGCCCUCCACCAGCGGACUCCGUGCCCUCCAAUUUACCCCGGCAGCUUGGAAGGUGCUCGAGAUCACCAGCCCUCCUCCACCACCCUGCUUCCGCCUUCCUUCUUCGCCCAGGGGGAUCAGGGCUCCUCGCAUGCAAACCCUGAAUGCUCCUCUCACAACCAUACGCACAACUCCACCACCAGCAGCACCAGCAGCAGCACCGUCCUCCCCCCAGUGUCCUCCCUGCGGCCUUCUCGCCUCCGAGCAGAGAUCACUCCAGCCAAAGCUGCCUCCCUGCUGUCUUCUCAGGUCAGCCCUGCCUCUCCAGACAGCUCUCCGGGGCCCCCUGGUGCCAAAAUGGAGUAUGACAGCCCUCGAGAGAUUCCCAGCCACUUCCACUGCGAAUUCUCCCCCAUACACUUUUGAAUACAUGCAUGUUUGUGUGAGAGAGUGUGAUCAAGGUAUUGGUGUUGAUAUAUCCUGUGUAAAUGGGAGUAUUUCUGUAUUUGUAUUACUGUUAGGAUGUCGUUAGUAGAAAUAUUAUAAGUUGCCUGGGCUGCAUUUAGCUCGGCUGCAAUAAAUGCACAUUGUUCUGUCGAUAUUUUUUUACUUUUGCGUUAAACUCUCUUGAUUUAAAUCAGCAGUCUCCAUCAUAUUAUUAUUCAACAUAUCAUUGCACCAGGGAACAGUGCUUUUAUUGAGUCAAUUUAGUUACCAGCCCGACCGAGGGGCGUGGGAGGUGGGUUAAUAGGCGAGUGUAAUUGUUUUCCUCAUCCCCAUCAGUAUAUCCACUUGUGUUCACAAAUCAUAAACAUUUUUAAUUAAGUUUUUUUAAUCCAGUCACACCCAUGAGCCUUGAUUACAGAAAAGAGUCUGCACAAUUAUGCAGACGUUACAGAAGUUUUACAUUAUAUAACUUUAUUAAAUCAACUAAAUGUCAAUAAGAAGAAAAAUAACUCACUGAAGUUGAAGGGUUAAUUUAGAAGCUUUGCUUUCAACAGCCCCGUAGUUAAUACCCUUUUUGUACAUGAUGAAAAAGUUCUGUAUAGUUACUACACAGAUGUAUACAGGCGUUUAAUAUAUUACACUAAAUUAUGAACUAUAGUUUUCUUCAAAUGUUACCAUUGAGUCUUGUUUGCUUAACAGUCCACGGCCCCGAGGCGGCUCACCGCUGACAUGCUGCUCAUUUGUCUUCAGGCCACUUGAGAGCGCUGUUUCGUCACGACAGACGACCGCCUGCCGGGAGCUAUUUUGACAGCAUGUCAGGUUCUCGGACGCGUGCAACAGUCACUGAUCCGGUGGAGGGGCGAGCGGGCCGAGUCCUCUCCAGAAUGGAGGUAUCAAUCGCUGAUACAACCCAAGUCCUUAAUCGCUGUUGCCAUUUGCGGCGUCCUCUUGUUUAUUCUCCUCCUCUUUAACGAGCAGAAGGCAUCUUUCUCUGAAACAAGCAGAGACGACGGAGACCAUCGUGGCAUUUCCCCUCUCAGUAGUGCAAGGAAAACCCCAAACGUUCCUGAUUUACCUCUAGUUAGUAUUCCUGUUUCGCGCCGCUGCUUUGUGUAAAGUAAAGAUUGAAGUAAAGCUUGGAUGACGAUGAUGUGGGAGGAAGAGAAGGAACUCUGGAGGAGGCAGGGACCAGGGGAGCAGAUGAAGGGGGGAGUGAGGAGGGAGGGGGGGGGUUCAGUGUGUCUCUGGGAACAAGGGAGGAGAGCCGAGAUGAGCUGUUGCUAUGGCAGGAGGAGAGGAUGAUGGUUGGGCUCUGCCAGCAGGCGUGGGAGGGGAGCAGAAGAUGGGGAUGAGGGAAGAGUGCUUGUAGCACGGGGGGGUUUUGGGAGGAACAGGACUGCUGGUUAUGUAACUGCUGU
ensembl:lncRNA